rnacentral:rRNA from 1 species
AUCGAGGUGGCCGCCUGGGACUCCCUCCUCCAAGACAUCGCACUUAUGCCGAUGAACAUCGUGGAGGACCGGGAUGUUCUUUCCUGGCGCCUCGAGCCCUCUGGCCGUUUCUCCACGAAGUCCCUAUACGGCGCCAUUGCUCCCUCGACGGCCGCGGAACCGUUUAGCCUGAUCUGGGACAUCCGGCUUCCGCUGAAGAUCAGGAUCUUUCUGUGGCAAUGGAUCCGUGGACGUCUCCCCUCUGGGGUUGAAGUCCUCAAGCGUAAUGGCCCGGGUGAUGGGAUGUGCCCCAUCUGUGGCACGAUUGAGGAUGCUAACCACAUCUUUUUCUCGUGCUACUCUGCUCAGUUCCUCUGGGCCUGCUUCCGCGAAACGGUUGGUGGACAGUGGUGUAAUACCAACUUCCCCGAUCUGCUUGCCGAGCUUAACGCCUCCCCUACUCGCUACCGCUAUAUUAGAUGGCUGUGUGUUGUUCUCGCCUGGACGCUUUGGAACAUUCGCAAUAAGCUUGUUAUUCAGAAGGUUCCCCUCCGACGUGCGACUGACGCAAUCUUCAAACUGUGUGGUUACCUGCAGCUUUGGCGGCCGCUUAGCCGCCCCCAGGACCUGGACGUCAUCACCACCCUGCUCUCCGAUCUUUGCUCGAUGGCGCUCCGCGUGGCUCCCCCGCCGCCGCCUCCUCCUCUUGAGCCUGACUAG